rnacentral:tRNA from 1 species
CUGGGGACAUAGCUCAGUUGGUAGAGUGCUUGCCUAGCAUGCAUGAGAGACUGGGUUCAAUCCCCUGCACUAUA